rnacentral:rRNA from 1 species
AUGGAGCCGACCUUGAAAUACCACCCUUUAAUGUUUGAUGUUCUAACGUGGACCCGUGAUCCGGGUUGCGGACAGUGUCUGGUGGGUAGUUUGACUGGGGCGGUCUCCUCCUAAAGAGUAACGGAGGAGCACGAAGGUUGGCUAAUCCUGGUCGGACAUCAGGAGGUUAGUGCAAUGGCAUAAGCCAGCUUGACUGCGAGCGUGACGGCGCGAGCAGGUGCGAAAGCAGGUCAUAGUGAUCCGGUGGUUCUGAAUGGAAGGGCCAUCGCUCAACGGAUAAAAGGUACUCCGGGGAUAACAGGCUGAUACCGCCCAAGAGUUCAUAUCGACGGCGGUGUUUGGCACCUCGAUGUCGGCUCAUCACAUCCUGGGGCUGAAGUAGGUCCCAAGGGUAUGGCUGUUCGCCAUUUAAAGUGGUACGCGAGCUGGGUUUAGAACGUCGUGAGACAGUUCGGUCCCUAUCUGCCGUGGGCGCUGGAGAACUGAGGGGGGCUGCUCCUAGUACGAGAGGACCGGAGUGGACGCAUCACUGGUGUUCGGGUUGUCAUGCCAAUGGCACUGCCCGGUAGCUAAAUGCGGA